rnacentral:misc_RNA from 1 species
GAUGAAGAACGCAGCGAAAUGCGAUACGUAGUGUGAAUUGCAGAAUUCAGUGAAUCAUCGAAUCUUUGAACGCACAUUGCACCUCUCGGUAUUCCGGGAGGUAUGCCUGUUCGAGCGUCAUUUGUACCCUCAAGCUCUGCUUGGUGUUGGGUGUUUGUUCCGCCUCUGUGUGUGAACUCGCCUCAAAACAAUUGGCAGCCGGCGUAUUGAUUUCGGAGCGCAGUACAUCUCGCGCUUUGCACUCAUAACGACGACGUCCAAAAGUACAUUUUUACACUCUUGACCUCGGAUCAGGUAGGGAUACCCGCUGAACUUAAGCAUAUCAAUAAGCGGAGGA